rnacentral:misc_RNA from 1 species
GAAAUGCGAUAAGUAAUGUGAAUUGCAGAAUUCAGUGAAUCAUCGAAUCUUUGAACGCACCUUGCGCUCCUUGGUAUUCCUUGGAGCAUGCCUGUUUGAGUAUCAUGAAAUCUUCAAAGUAAAUCUUUUGUUAACUCAAUUGGUUUCUACGUUGGUAUUGGAGGUCUUUGCAGCUUCACACCUGCUCCUCUUUGUUCAUUAGCUGGAUCUCAGUGUUAUGCUUGGUUCCACUCGGCGUGAUAAGUUAUCUAUCGCUGAGGACACUGUAAAAGGUGGCCAAGGUAAAUGCAGAUGAACCGCUUCUAAUAGUCCAUUGACUUGGACAAUACUUUUAUGAUCUGAUCUCAAAUCAGGUAGGACUACCCGCUGAACUUAAGC